rnacentral:rRNA from 1 species
GAUGGACGCUGGCGGCGUGCCUAAUACAUGCAAGUCGAGCGAACAGACGAGGAGCUUGCUCCUCUGACGUUAGCGGCGGACGGGUGAGUAACACGUGGAUAACCUACCUAUAAGACUGGGAUAACUUCGGGAAACCGGAGCUAAUACCGGAUAACAUGUUGAACCGCAUGGUUCAACAGUGAAAGACGGUCUUGCUGUCACUUAUGGAUGGAUCCGCGCCGCAUUAGCUAGUUGGUAAGGUAACGGCUUACCAAGGCAACGAUGCGUAGCCGACCUGAGAGGGUGAUCGGCCACACUGGAACUGAGACACGGUCCAGACUCCUACGGGAGGCAGCAGUAGGGAAUCUUCCGCAAUGGGCGAAAGCCUGACGGAGCAACGCCGCGUGAGUGAAGAAGGUCUUCGGAUCGUAAAACUCUGUUAUUAGGGAAGAACAAAUGUGUAAGUAACUAUGCACGUCUUGACGGUACCUAAUCAGAAAGCCACGGCUAACUACGUG